rnacentral:rRNA from 1 species
GAUGAACGCUAGCGGCAGGCUUAACACAUGCAAGUCGAGGGGUAGAAGUUGCUUGCAACUUUGAGACCGGCGCACGGGUGCGUAACGCGUAUGCAAUCUACCUUAUACAGAGGGAUAGCCCAGAGAAAUUUGGAUUAAUACCUCAUAGUAUAAUUGAAUGGCAUCAUUUAAUUAUUAAAGUUCCAACGGUAUAAGAUGAGCAUGCGUCCUAUUAGCUAGAUGGUAAGGUAACGGCUUACCAUGGCAACGAUAGGUAGGGGUCCUGAGAGGGAGAUCCCCCACACUGGUACUGAGACACGGACCAGACUCCUACGGGAGGCAGCAGUGAGGAAUAUUGGACAAUGGGCGCAAGCCUGAUACAGCCAUGCCGCGUGCAGGAAGAAGCAUCUAUGGUGUGUAAACUGCUUUUGUACGGGAAGAAACACUCCUUCGUGAAGGAGCUUGACGGUACCGUAAGAAUAAGGAUCGGCUAACUCCGUGCCAGCAGCCGCAGUAACAC